rnacentral:rRNA from 1 species
AUGGAUCCCGACGUUUCCGCCUUCCUCACCAAGCUGGAGGCCAACCUGGAGGCCAAGAUCGACGCCCAGACCAAGGCCCAGCAGGUCACGUCGACCAAGAUCGACGAACUCCUCACGUGGCGUCCUGAUCUGGAGCGCCGUGUCGCGACUCUCAGCGACGCGAUGACCGCGCUGCAGCUGGCGCAAAGGCCGCCGCCCAAGGACGGUGGCGCGGAUCUGGCCGCGCGCGAGCCGCCACAACCUCUGCCUGCGACGCACGACGUCCACAUCGGACCCGUGAAUGGCGCGGCGACACCACAUCCAGGGCUUCAUGGCCACGGCGUCUUCAACCUACCAUGGGGGCCGCCGACGGUGUCGUUCUAG